rnacentral:misc_RNA from 1 species
AUAUUGUAUUAAUGGCCAUUAUGGCACAAAUCACGUUCAACAUUGAUGGUAGCAUAUAGUGAUUUUCUAAGGGAAUGAAAGAUAAUCACCCCAAAAAAAGUGGCAAUCAACUCAAAAUCCCCUCAAAAGUGUGCACGGGUGUUUGGAAGAUGAUUGUUAGGGCAAGCACAUGCAUCCAAAAAAUUGGCUGCCAGCAUCAAAACCCCAUCACAACUCACUAAUGAUCCUUCCGCAGGUUCACCUACGGAAA